GGUGCCAGGAGCACCCACCAGCAGCAGUUCAGGGAUGGACUUUAGCCCCCGGCUGCGUGGAGGGGCCCCACUGUCACGGGUGUGGCCGAGCCCGCUGUGGUCCUGGGGCCGAGCCGGGGGCCAGCGCUUGGCUGACAGUCACCGAGCAAGCAGAGAACUGCUCCAGAGAGAUGCUGGGCCUUUGGACGCCCCUCCGGAGUCCUGAGAUUCUGCUACAGGAAAGAGAACUGAUUAUCUUAUGUAACACUCCUGAGUCCAGAUUCUGAUGGAAACCUCUUCAGAAAGGGCAACGGACUUGCUGGAGGUCACUGAUUACUUUCAUGUCAGGACUGAGCUCAGGGCCAGGUGUCCAGGCUUCAACCCCGGUGCUCCCGCUGGCAUACCCCUGCCUUCCAAAGGAAUUCAGAGCGAAUCUCAUCUGCUGUCUUGGCUCUCAUACAAGCCCUCUCCCAAGCCUGCUCCCUGAUCCACUGGUCUUCUUUGGGAAGGACUGAAGCUCUCCCGGCCCUCCUCAGGCUGCAAGGCUGUUUGGUGCAAAAGAGGAGACCCAGGUUGGGGCCAGCACACCUGCAUCCUGGUCCCACCUCCCCCACUGUGUGCUCUGGGGCUCCGAAUUACUGGGAAUAAUUGGAGCCUGUAACACUGGAGAAAUGUUGAGCCAGCUGUCCCCAAAUGAGAAGGGCCAUUGCUCACAGGCCAUUGCUCACAGGAGAAAUGUUGAGCUAGCUGUCUCCAAAAUAGAAGGGCCAUUGCUCACAGGAGAGCCAGAAAUACCUGCAGGAUGGCCAGCUUCCCCAUCCCCCAGAGCACAGAAGGAGUACGGUGACUUAAAGAGAAGGCGGUAUCAACCCCAGUCAGAGAAAUACUGGAGGGCUUCCUGGAAGAGUUGGCAUUUGAGUUACAUCUUUGAGGAAUAAGAAAGUUUUUUCAGGGGAAGAAAGGACACUCCAGGAAGAGAGACCAGAAUGUGCAAAGGUGAGUCCAGACCUCCCGGCUCGUCCCACUGCGGGUCUGCCGUUAUCCCACCACUAGACGCAGGCCCACCGCCCGGAGAGGUGAGGGGGAACCACCGAGUGAUCGCUGCCCCCCACCCGCGUGGCAGUGCCCCUGCCGCCCCACCAGCUGCCUGACCCUCGCCAUGCCUCAAUGCCCCAUCUGUGAAAUAGGGACCGUGAUGCCCGCCUCCCUACCCCCAUCCCAGUGGUCAUUGGAUGCCCCAGACCACCCGCGUCUCUCGCCCUAACCCCUCCUCCAGGAGGCUGGGCUUGCGUCGCCUCGAGUCCCUCCCCCUCCGGACCUCCGGACCCUCCGAGGGUUGGGGAGGCACCGCCCACCCUGCCUGCGGCGGACCCGCAGUUCUGAGAGCUGCGCCGGGGCCCCACCUUGUGGCUCUUCUGGGAACUGCACUGCCCGGCCUCCUCUGGACGUAACAGCAGUUACAGUUACAGCGGCUGAGCGUGCAGCACUGACGCUGAAAGGCUCUGUGCUAAGCACCAUCCACGUGGAACGUUCUUAAUUCUCCCACAAAGCUUCGGAUGUGGGUCCUGUUAUUUGUCCUCCCUUACAAAUGGGGAAACUGGGGGCGAAGCCCCGUAACCAGUGACAGAUGGGGUAGGAUUUGACCCCAGGAGGUCU